GGUAGGCUGGUUUCCCGACAAUUCACGUCAUCUUCAAAGCGUCUGCCGUCCUCAAGAUGGAAGCAGAAUUAUUGCUGGCUGACAGUGGGAGAUGGGAACGAGGCUAGCAUCAGGUGUAGCAAACGCAGAAACGUUACCAAACUUUGGAAAGCAUUGUCUAAUUGAAUGAGCAGGGACAAACAGCUUGGAGUCAGAAAUACGUACGCUAUUCUCGAACAUGAACGCACCCCAAGUCUUGGAUGACAAAUCAACAGAGCAGAGUCGACUCGACACGGCUGGUAGUUUCUUCAAUUUAUUCAGAGUCCAAAAUGUUGAUUAUAAUUGGUCAGUGAAGAAAACAACAGUUUCGACAUGAAGGUGUCCUGAAAAAAGGCACAAACAAAACAAAGGAAUAGCCUUCAUUAUCAACUGUGAACAUCCACAGAGCUAAUGUUAUGAAAAACGAUCCAUUCAAAGGUAAAACAUUUCUUACUCCCUUUUAAAUUCAAAUGAUACAAUCAACGGCAAAACUGAAUGCAUUUUAAACAGGUUUCAUCUUUUGUUGCGUGUGAAGCCUGAUUGUAUCCAUGAUUAUGAUAAAAAACAGGUACAAUGGCAUGUUGCCUAUCAAGACUUUAGAAUUGAAGAUGACAUAGUGCUUAUCUAAUUGUACUUUUAAAAGUGCCCUUCUCACCUUUUAAACUCAAGGGCAAAUGGCAUGUUGGCAGCAUGAUAUCUUACGAUCAUGAUCUUGGCCUGUGUAGCUUUCAUCUUGAAGCAACAUUUCUCUCUCUGCUUUCCC